rnacentral:lncRNA from 1 species
CUUCCUGACAGCUGUGAUAGCGUGCCAAGCACUGCAUUAGGGACUAGGGGUGGGGAUGAUGAAGGCAGGGGCUGCUCCUGUAGCUGAGAUCUGGGGUUGACCUUCGGAGUCAGUGUGAGGAGGUCAGAGAAUGACCGAUUUGGGUUUUAGCCUACUAACUGAUCACUGAGAGCAACCCCAUGAACAUGCUAAGCAGGAUUAAAUUUAUCAGUGUUGGGACAGCUCUGUGGAGUAGCUGGAGCCAUCCCUGCGUUUGCCGCCGGGGUUAGGUGCAGUGUGAGUGGAAGAAAGACCUUCAUUCUGGAGGAUGCUCUGCUUGGCCUGGAUGCUGCCCAUCAGAAGCCCCAGCAAGACUGUUUUCAGCAGGAAUUCCCCAGGUUUGAUGACAUCAUUCUGCUCGCUGUCCCAGUACUGAGUGUCCUCCAAGCCUCACUUUUCCCCCUGCGGUCCGGCAGAGAAUGGUGGCGUCACCCUAGAGCGAGGAUUUGCAGGAUUCCUCUGCUUGCUCUUCACAGUCCCUGAAGGAUUUUGUUAGUUCUCCAUUACUUUUGUUACCUGAGACCCAUCUUUUCAUCCUGUUCCUCCUCUUCCUUGACGACCUGGGAUGUUUCCACACUGAGACAAAGAGGAAGAGACACAUCUAAGCAAUUCUCUACAGAUAGUCUCACUCAUCUCUGUCCUGAGUUCUCCUUGUGACAAGUCCAAAAGCUUGGCCACAGUCCUGAGGCAAAAAGUUUCAUGGAAACUGGUCUCUUGGAGUCUUUGGCAUCCCAUAACAUGGAUGUGGUCCAGAUAUGUCCUUGCAAUAGUCGUGAAGGGUUUAGUGUGCUUUCUUUCAAUAUUGUUUUUAUUAUAAGUGCCUCCAAGGAAUGAUUUGACAAAUAGCUAAGUUAGAUUGAACAUUGCUUCCUGGCCUCUACCAGUGUUCCAAUAUCCUAGGAAAUUGUUGAGCUGACCUUGGGCUUUGAAUUUCGUAAGAAUGUUACUUAUUCAGACAAAAUGCCUCCAGUGUUGAAAGAGAGAUAGUGAAAGAAAUCAGGCAUUGCAGUUUACUGGUUAAGAGUAGAAAUCUCAGAACAAGUUCUACAAAAUAAACUUGGAAUUCUCACUACAGUCAGGUAUGGCAGACUACAUUACAUAUUAAAAGAAAGUUGGUGGGCUCCUCUGUUAAAUGGAGGUUCCCUAUGGAUACUUAGAAUAACAACCAAGUCACACCCAUAUGCAGGAAUUUACAAUGGUCUAGGAAAAAGGAGGGUUGUGGUUUAAGAAGGAACUAGAGUAAAUACUUAGAAUAACAGCCAAGUCACUUCCAUAUACAGAAAUUUACAAUGGCCUAGGGAGAAGGUGGAUUAUACGAUAGACUAGAAUUGGAACUAUAGCUAGGGCGUGAAACCCUUGCCCCUGGCUUCUAAGAAUAAGCUGACCUUAGGUAGGUAUGAUUUUUAUCUCAGUUGUAAACACUGCCUGGUUCUUGCUAGCUUUUAUGUAUACAUUCCUCUGUUUUGUGUCAUUAUGCAUCAGAUGACUUCAAUGUAUCUUGGCUGAUGUGUCACCUGACUUCCUUGUUUUCUUCUGUAAUAUAAGUCUAAUGCUUGCUUUGAGACAUUACAUUCAGAUUCAACACUC